rnacentral:rRNA from 1 species
GCCCGCUCAAGAACUCAAAGGAAUUGGACGGGGCCCGCACAAGCGGUGGAGUAUGUGGUUUAAUCGAUGCAACGCGAAGAACCUUACCUGGUCUUGACAUCCCGGAGACCCUUAAGGAAACGUAGGGGGUGCCUUCCAUCUGGAAGAAUCUGGAGACAGGUGCUGCAUGGCUGUCGUCAGCUCGUGUCGUGAGAUGGUUGGGUUAACGUCCCGCAACGAGCGCCAACCCUUGCCUUUAGUUGCCAGCAGUUCGGCUGGGCACUCUAAAGGGACUGCCGGUGUUAAACCGGAGGAAGGUGGGGAUGACGUCAAGUCCUCAUGGCCUUUAUGACCAGGGCUACACACGUACUACAAUGGCCGAUACAAAGGGCAGCGACACUGCGAGGUGAAGCCAAUCCCGUAAAAUCGGUCUCAGUCCGGAUUGGAGUCUGCAACUCGACUCCAUGAAGUUGGAAUCGCUAGUAAUCGUGGAUCAGCAUGCCACGGUGAAUACGUUCCCGGGCCUU